rnacentral:tRNA from 1 species
CGGCUGGCGUAGCUCAGUUGGUAGAGCAUCUGAUUUGUAAUCAAACUAGCCGAGGGCUGCGCCCUUGAUAUCCCCAUGGGAUAUGGAAGUCAGGAGGCAGAAGACGAGGAAGUCAGAAUGGCGGCCGCGUAGGCGCUGAGCAAGCGGCUGACUUCUUCGGCCGCGCCGGCCA